rnacentral:lncRNA from 1 species
AUGAAAUUAGAAAAAAGAGUAGAAGAUAAUGGAUUUGUAGUUAUAAAUGCAUCGAAUUGUAUAUUAUCAGUAGAUGCAGAUGAAAAAAAACAAAUAAGUACAACUAAUAAUUUAUUUAAUGUAAAUAACUAUGUAAAAAAAAAUCGAAAUCAACGUUUUAUUGGAGAAACAGUUAAAAUAUUAAAAGGGAUAUAUAAAGGGUUGUUAGCAGAUAUAAUAGGUUCAGAAGCAGAUGAAUUUACACUAUUAUUAAAAAUUAAACCUAAAACUAUUAGACAGCAUAAAGAAGAUUGUGUACUUAUGGAUGGUGAUGAAGAAGUACCUGCAGCAUUUCAUAAUAGUGGAGAUAAUAAUAAUAAUAAAAAGGGAAUUGUUGAUAAUGUUGGUAGGUUUAAUGAAAGGAACAACCGUGGCAAUCGUGGCACUCGUGGUGGUUAUGGUGGUUAUGGUAGUCGUGGAUAUAUGGGGAAAAGUGGACCUGUACCUGGUUUUGGAAGUGGACCUAGUUUGGGAAGUGGAUCUAAUUUUGGGACUGGUUAUCGUGAUAAAUAUAAUACAUAUGGUAGUAGUUAUUAUUCGCGUCGUGACAAUUAUAGUAAUAUAAAUACUGGUGUAAAUGAUAAUAAUCCAUAUUCUUCUAAAUAUAAAAAGUUUCCAACACACGAUUCUGUACCCUACAAUAAUAACACUACUACCGCUACUACUACUGCUACUACUACUGUUACUACUACUGUUGCUACUACUGUUGCUACUACUAAUAAUAAUAAUAGUAAUAGUAAUAAUACUAAUAGUAAUAAUAGUAGUAGUAAUAAUAAUAAUAAUAAUAGUAGUAGUAAUAUUGAUAAAAAAAAAGGAAAAUAUGAAACGAAUAGAAAUGAUAGAAAUUAUAAAGAACAGCACAGAUAUGGCAGUAGCCACACUCGUAGUUACAGUCGCGACCGUAGUUAUAGUCGUGACCAUAAUUAUAGUCGUGAUGAACAACAUAAGAGUAAUGUUUCAAAUACAUAUAAAAAUAUAAGUACUAAAAAUUAUAGUAAUAAUGAGAAUAAUAAUAAUUAUAGUAUGAAUAAAUCAAAAUGGUCAGAUGCUAUUAAAACUGAUAGUGGUGGUGAAUAUAAAGAUUUUAAUUCAUUUUCAAAUAUUGAUAUAAAAAGUGGUAAUAUAAAAAGUGGUAAUAUAAAAAGUGGUAAUNNNNNNNNNNAAAAGUGGUAAUAUAAAAAGUGGUAAUAUAAAAAGUGGUAAUAUAAACAGUGGUAAUAUAAGAAGUGAUGAUAGUAAUAGGCAUAACAACAUAAGUAAUGAGCAUAAUAAUAUAAAUAUGAUUGAAAAGAGUAAUGAUGAAUAUAUUAAUUGGGUAGUUGAAGGCGUAGUAGUAAAAAUAAUUACACCUGGUGCUUUUUAUAAUGAAUUAGGACGAAUUACAGAAGUUAUAAAAAAGGUUUCUUACACUAUUUUAAAAAUAGCAACAGAUAAAACAAACUUUAGUAUUGUUGCUGAUGCAGUUGUUCCUUUGAAACCUAAUAAACCAAACGACGAAGUAGUUAUUUUGUUUAAA